CCUACGGGAGGCUGCAGUGAGGAAUAUUGGUCAAUGGACGCAAGUCUGAACCAGCCAUGCCGCGUGCAGGAAGAAGGUGCUAUGCAUUGUAAACUGCUUUUAUACGGGGGUAAUUACAGAUACGUGUAUCUGGAUGAAAGUACCCUAUGAAUAAGGAUCGGCUAACUCCGGUCCAUCAGCCGCGGUAAUACGGAGGAUCGGAGCGUUAGUCGGAUUUAUUGGGGUUAAAGGGUGCGUAGGCGGUCAGGUCAGUUAGGGGUGAAACCUCGAUGCUAAACAUCCGAACUGCCUCUGAUACGGUCUGACUAGAGUGUAGGAGAGGAAGGCGGAAUGUGUGGUGUAGCGGUGAAAUGCAUAGAUAUCACACAGAACACCGAUUGCGAAGGCAGCUUUCCAGGCUAUUACUGACGCUGAGGCACGAAAGCGUGGGGAGCGAACAGGAUUAGAUACCCGGGUAGUC
rnacentral:rRNA from 1 species